rnacentral:rRNA from 1 species
GUGGGGAAUAUUGGACAAUGGGCGCAAGCCUGAUCCAGCCAUGCCGCGUGAGUGAUGAAGGCCCUAGGGUUGUAAAGCUCUUUCACCGAUGAAGAUAAUGACGGUAGUCGGAGAAGAAGCCCCGGCUAACUUCGUGCCAGCAGCCGCGGUAAUACGAAGGGGGCUAGCGUUGUUCGGAAUUACUGGGCGUAAAGCGCACGUAGGCGGAUAUUUAAGUCAGGGGUGAAAUCCCAGAGCUCAACUCUGGAACUGCCUUUGAUACUGGGUAUCUCGAGUAUGGAAGAUGUGAGUGGAAUUCCGAGUGUAGAGGUGAAAUUCGUAGAUAUUCGGAGGAACACCAGUGGCGAAGGCGGCUCACUGGCUCGGUACUGACGCUGAGGUGCGAAAGCGUGGGGAGCAAACAGGAUUAGAAACCCGGGUAGUCC